GGAGGGAUCAUUGAAACCGAUCAAACCAAUCACAGAGCACCUGCGGGCGCUCGCUCCCCUCGGGGGGCGAGGGCCCGCCGUUUACAGGAUCCGCCGGCGCGUGAGCUCCCCUCGGGGGGCGACCGCGCCGGGCCGGAGCCUAACCCAUUGAACCCUCUGCCCUGAAGCAGCUUCGCACGGGGACACCCCUGCGAUAGUAACUGAGACAACUCUCAACAACGGAUAUCUUGGCUCUCGCAACGAUGAAGAACGCAGCGAAAUGCGAUACGUAGUGUGAAUUGCAGAAUUCCGUGAGUCAUCGAAUCUUUGAACGCACAUUGCCGGUCGACUCUUCGGAGGAGACCACAUCUGCCUCAGCGUCGGAAUACCCCCUCACGCACCCCCGCGUGGACCUGGCCCCCCCGGACGCCUCGGCGCCCGGGCCGGCUGAAAUACAGAGGCUCGCGCGCGGCCCAUUCGUGGCCCCGACUAGGUAGGUAGCUCGCUACUUCUAGGCGGUGGCUCGGUGUCGCGUGCUGUGGGCCCGAAAGGAUACCAAUCCAUUCAUUCGACCUGAGUUCAGGUGAGGCUACC
rnacentral:rRNA from 1 species